GGCGCUGCAUGCCACUCACCUGUCUGAUGGCGUCCAGAAUGACCUUGUGCCAAUCGGUGAUGAUGCUGUCAGUGUCGUACUGAAUGAGGAUUGCUUACAGAAGGUCCUGAUGGGGCUGAUUUGGGAUCUUUAUGGAAUGUCAGGAUACCACCAUGGAGAACCGUCCAGGACUGAGACCAGUUCUUCCUGGAAUAGUGAACAAAGUCCAAGGAAACAGCAGGUGGCCCUAUAAGACAGAGGACCAGAGAAGUCAGAGCCUGAGACAGGUCACACUAUGGGCAUUUAAGGCCGACCCAAUUUCAACUCAGGAAAGAGGAAAUCCUGGAGAAGAUUUUUAUCAAGGUGAAACAGAGAAAGAAAGGAAGAACUGCACCUCGGAAGAGGACCAAGGAGCGAGUCCAAGCGGGGCCUGAGGCUGAGAGACGCCUUGCGCAGCAGUUUGGGCACGGGCAUCAUGUCACAGGAGCAGCACACCUGCCAACUGACCAGCAGCUAACUGACCACCAGCAGACUGACAAAGCGAGAAGCUGGGAGUGUGUCAGAACAGAACACUAAAGAUCACAGAGCAGCACCACCACCACACGUCCUGUACCAGUGCCAAGUGGGAAACCACACUCGAGCCAGUUCGAGGGGAACAGCAGUAUGGCUCAGCUCCGCUGAAGACUGAAUGGCAUGAUUGGCAAACAGCAUACAGCCCCUGAGCUCCAGGAGUCACUCGGAGGGUCCAUCGCACAAUGAGCGAGCUAGAGAAACUUAAAUACCAGGGAAAAGAACUAGAAAGAUGUUCAGAGUCAAUGGCUGAGAAGAAUAUUUCAGUGAUUCCCCACCUCGAAAAGCAAAACGAUCGUAUAAUAAAAUUGACAUUUGACCUGGCAUCAAACCUCUUCCAAAAAAACGUGACCAAUUCCAAAUGGGACACUAAAGUGUUGCAGGCUGUGCUGGAACUUCUUCGCCCGGAGCACACUGGCAUUUCUGAUCCAAGUCCACCCAUAGACCUUAUUAAGGGGGUCCAUGCCCAUUUUACGCAACUUGAGGAUCUUCUCUCACAUGAGAACUUCAGUAUGUGUGCCUGGGAGACGGUGCGGAUGCAGGUGAGGAUCACACUGCACAGAUUCCUUAUUCGUCUCCGCCAGCUCCGAGCCCGAAACCAGGGAAAGAAGGAAUAGAGGCUGGACUACUUCUCUCAUGGAUGUGGAAAAUCGCGUGUGUGGUUUAUUCCUUAAACUUACAUUUGAUAUUGUUUUCCCCCAAGAGGACCACAACAAAAAUCAACUGUUGCGACCAAAAGUCAAUAUUAGCCUGCCAGGUUUUCCUUUGCCUAUGUUUGGUCGUUCCUUUCUCUGAAUUCAAACUGUACAAAUGAGUUUGUUUUAUGUAGUCUUUAUAUUAAUUUAAUAUUUAUUAUUUAAAAUGGCAUA